CAUCUCCCAUGACCACCGUAGCCCGUGGGGCCCUCGGCAGCAGCGAUGGCGGGCCUGGCAGGGGCCGCUUGCACAGCUGCCGCUUGCACAGCUGGCACCCCUCAAGCUCUGAGAUAGCAACGCCCGGCGAUUGGCUGUCUGCCCGAGCGGCCGCCGCUGAUUGGCCAGCGGGACGGGGGGGCGGCUCCAGGCCGGGUUUUGGCGGAACAAAGCUCCUCUCAUGUGAUGCAUAAUCAGCUGUAACCGAGUUCACAACCCUCCUGAGUUGUGAUGAACCGCAAUGGCUUGAGACCAUGGAACUGGGAGUACCAGCACAUAGAUAACCCCAACUGAGGAGCAGCUGAAUAUCUGGUGACCAGACACUUCUGGGUUUUAACAUGGGCCCAGUAAAAGCUAUUUUCAGCCUAAAUGAUCUUUGAUACUGAAACUAGAGUUAACCUGGCUGGUGAGCAGAGGAGAUCAUCUGUUCUGAGAAAUAAACCAAGGGAGAAGGAGGUGGGAGAAGAGUAGGAAGAUAACAAAGGAGAGGGACUCUUUAGGGAGAGGAAUAAAUUUGGAAACAUGCAGUGAUGGAAAAAGGAACAGAAGAAAAACUGCUGUUGCAUCUCCCUAUCACUCCCUCUCAGGUCCCUGUCCCUGCUCAACUGCCAGCCACAUUUGUCAUUUGUAAUUCUCAGCCUUCUUAAAUAGAUGGGACUAAGAAGCAAAAACUGACUCAAAGCAACUCCCCUCACUUUUGCUAUUGCCAAUUUUAGUAAUUUUUUGUCAGUUUGGUUUGGUUGUUAAUAAGGACUUGAUUCUAAUUUCACCAUGUGCAGCAGUAACUUGUUAACAAGCUGCUCCAAGAGAUCUUUGUAGGACAGUGGAAACCAGGGAGAGGGAAUAAUUACAGCAUUUCCACCUAUGACAGUCUGCUUCAGGGCAGGUGUAAAUAGAUCCGUAAGUGUUUGUUCACUUAAAAGUUCAGCCCAACUGCUUUCUCAAUUUCCAGCAGCAGAAUUAAUAGAUAGGGGUUUUUCCUUAAAAAAUGAGGGCAAAAAUUAUCUACUAAAUAUCACCCUCCCUUCCCACUAGACUGCAAGUAGUAUUAAAAAAGUUUCAGAAUUUUUACCAAAACCAGAUGUUGGGUGUAUAAAAGUACAGGCAGUUUUUCAAAGCAUUCUGUUUGGAAAGGGAAGGACAAUUAGAUCCGAAAACUCAAUUCAGCUUCAGAACAGAGGAACUUAAUGGGGAAAAAAAGAAGGAAAUUACAUUUCAUUCACUUGGUGCAUCCAAAAAGUUCUGGACUGGUGCAUGCAAAGAGUAACUCCCUUUGGAGCAGCACCACAAGCUUUGAGAAAGCAGUUGCUAAAGUGUCUGAAAGCAUCCUGUUUCUUGUCCUCUGCUCUCUGAAGAGCAGAAGGAGCACAACACAAUACCCAGAUGGGGUGGAACAGGGGUCCCCAGAUUAUGGGGACAUUGAUCUGUGAGCUGGGCAGUGGGACACUUGCAUCCAGUUUGAGCAUCCCAGAAAUAACCUACCUGACUCAAAGAAGGAUUGGAAACCUCUCCUCAGGGCUCAGCACACCUUGAUGCGGGAGGAAGAAGAGCCCAGUGUGGGUGGCCUGGGCCUCUCUCUGGGAGCAACACUCCCACGGCUCCAUCUACUUCUGGCUGGAACCUAAAGCCCUGCCAAUCCAUUUUUCCGUGCACCAAGUCGUUUAAAGAAACUUCCUCAGUGUGGACUCAAAUAAAUGCAAUAAACAUUUGUGUGGUUCCUUGGGAGCUCAGCUAAUGGAAUGCUUGGAAGGACUUGCUAGGCAAAUGUUCUGCCUCUGGCUUCCCAUACUGAAACCUCACCUUGCACUCUGUGACAGCCCAUCAGUGCAAUACCCUGCUUCUGCCUAUUGUUCAAGCUGCAGGUACCACAUUUAACCAAACAAUAGCUAAAAACAAAAGACAUUUUAAGUGACUUGUGGUGUCUGCUGAGCACCAGCUGCCUUUUUUGUGUUCUACUGUGUCUUCAAUCCCGAUGCUCCAUGCUCAGAUCUCCUGGGUUCCAUUCAGCUGCAAAAGCCCAAAGCCACAGUGAGAGGAACAAUCUAAUCUGCUAGGGAAAUAAAACAGUUGAUGACUCAUAAAAGCAAAAGGGACAGAUAUUUGAAAAGGAAAAUAGUAGAACAGAUUCAGAUAUAAUUGUGAGUCCUAUCACAGGAGUGCAUGGAGAAGUAGUGAGUUCUGCCACGUUCUUCCACUUGAGCCCUCAGCCAGCUUCAAUAGAGCCAGGACUCAAACCUGUGGUUCCAGGUAGCAUUAAUAAAGCCUGGAUCUGAACUAAACUACUCUUCUGCAUGCCUGGGGAUAUGGUGGCAUGUGGCAGGCUUGGCUGCUUCAGGCUGCCCUGGAGCAUGUGAAGGAACGUGUUGGUGAGUGACAGCCCAAAGCAGUGGGACGGACCUGUGUGCAGCCACAGGAGCUGGGCCUCUGCUGGAGUCUGAGAUAGCCUGAGGGAGAAGGAGCUGUUCACAGGUUUCCCAUGGGGAGCUGAUGCCAAAAUAAACUCUUUUGAAGGCAGCAACAACAGCACAAGACCCUGGGCAGCACAGGGAUGCAUGUGUGGCUCUAGGAGAGGAGGAUGGGAGGCUGAGCCCACUCACCUGAACACCCACCUCCUCCCCUGGAGGGGCAGCAGAUGUUGUCAGUGGCUGCUCUUCAGGGGAAGAAGGACCCCAGACCGGCUCAGACACCUCUGUGAUGCAGAGGGGUGGGAUAUCCUCUCUGAGAUAAAUGGGACCCCCCUCAUAGCCCAGCUGUAGCACUUGG